GUAAAUAAUUUUUUUGUAGGAGCGUAAAAGCAAAAUAAAUUCAUACAUACUGUAAUACAGUAAGCCAGAGUAUUUAAUUUAAUUUACAAUAACCAGUGGGUCCCUGAAUAACUAAAAGUAAGGAAGACUGUGAACCUACAGUUUGGAGGAUGCAAAUCCAAUGGUAGCCUCGAUAAAAUCAGCUAUCUACAGCCUAUUCUGAGCU
rnacentral:lncRNA from 1 species